UGGGGAAUAUUGCACAAUGGGCGCAAGCCUGAUGCAGCCAUGCCGCGUGUAUGAAGAAGGCCUUCGGGUUGUAAAGUACUUUCAGUCGGGAGGAAGGUGGUAAGGUUAAUAACCUUAUCAAUUGACGUUACCGACAGAAGAAGCACCGGCUAACUCCGUGCCAGCAGCCGCGGUAAUACGGAGGGUGCAAGCGUUAAUCGGAAUUACUGGGCGUAAGCGCACGCAGGCGGUUGAUUGAGUCAGAUGUGAAAUCCCCGGGCUUAACCCGGGAAUUGCAUCUGAUACUGGUCAGCUAGAGUCUUGUAGAGGGGGGUAGAAUUCCAUGUGUAGCGGUGAAAUGCGUAGAGAUGUGGAGGAAUACCGGUGGCGAAGGCGGCCCCCUGGACAAAGACUGACGCUCAGGUGCGAAAGCGUGGGGAGCAAACAGG
rnacentral:rRNA from 1 species